GAUGAACGCUGGCGGCGUGCUUAACACAUGCAAGUCGAACGAUGAAGCCCAGCUUGCUGGGUGGAUUAGUGGCGAACGGGUGAGUAACACGUGAGUAACCUGCCCUUAACUCUGGGAUAAGCCUGGGAAACUGGGUAUAAUACCGGAUAGGAGCGUCCACCGCAUGGAGGGUGUUGGACAGAUUUAUCGGUUUUGGAUGGACUCGCUGCCUAUCAGAUUGUUGGUGAGGUAAUGGCUCACCAAGGCGACGACGGGUAGCCGGCCUGAGAGGGUGACCGGCCACACUGGGACUGAGACACGGCCCAGACUCCUACGGGAGGCAGCAGUGGGGAAUAUUGCACAAUGGGCGCAAGCCUGAUGCAGCGACGCCGCGUGAGGGAUGACGGCCUUCGGGUUGUAAACCUCUUUCAGUAGGGAAGAAGCGAAAGUGACGGUACCUGCAGAAGAAGCACCGGCUAACUACGUG
rnacentral:rRNA from 1 species